rnacentral:lncRNA from 1 species
UUUUAUCAUGUGCAUGCUCAGUGAGAAUUUGACUUGCUAGAACACAAGUUUGACUCUUCAUUUAAAUGUCUCUUGUAUCAUAUCCUUCAAUGUUGAGUGUGAUUCCAAUAAAAUUGAGUAGGGAGAUCCUUAAAUACCUUUUCCUUUUUUCCAAGGGCCUGCCAAAUUGCUCUAAGUGGUUCUACCCUUUAUCAAUGAAUAAUGAAAAUAAAAUUUUUAUUAAAGCAUUCUGUUCCUUAAAUGGUGACUAAUAGUACCCCCUUUUUUUUUGGAGAGGAAAGCCAAACGCCCAAAGAGGAUCAUUUACUUUCCUCUAAUGUAUUUUCUAAUUCGUUUUGAGCCUUGAAUGUCUGUUUUGGUGCGUAUUCUCAUUCCAUGUCGAAUCUUAUCCAUAUGGACAACCCCACUUACAAAAAAGUCUAAUGAAUCUAUUGAAGUUCAUAUGAGGUUUGUGCUUUAGAUUUAGACCUCUCUCUCUCUCUCUCUCCACUUACAUGUCUUUCACUUACCUGUUUGCAUGCAUGCCCAUGCACACACUUUCAAGAUAAUACACGGUCACUCGUACUUGUGUUUUGGUUGAAUUACUGGCUGCUAACCUCUGUAAUUCAGUUUGAAACUUGCCACCCUUAGUGCUUCACUCAAAUGGUUGGUUAGGGUGAGAUCUGUAUCGUUUUCCUGGUCUCUUUCCAAGGUUAUCUAAAGGGAUUUGGCAGUCUGAUUCUUUAGGGAAUAUCAUUGCAUAAGAUAUCUAUUGUUUGUUAAUGAAUAAUUUCUAUUUAACUAGUUAUCUAUAUAAAUUGGUAAAUUUUAACUGCAUAAUUUGCAUGCAAUAAGAUUUUAUAAGAAUCUUGUUUUCAACUCAUGACUUAGACUAAUGUGAUACGUUGAGCAUUAAGCUACAAGAUCUGCACAUCAAAGUGCUUCACCAUGUUAAGGAGAAAGCAUCGUUUUCUGCUUCUUCAUGUGAUUUAAAGUUUCCAAGGUACUUAUCCAAUAAAAUGUCUUUCAAGACUUUGGAAAUGCUUUUAUGUAUGACUGAGAGAAACUUGUUGGGUUGGUUUUUAGCAACAGACGGAGUUAUGGACUUUGUGUUGACUUGUUAUUGAUUAAGACAGUACAUCGGCUGAUCUAUUGGCAUCAAGCAGCAGAUGCAGAAAUUAUGGGUGGCAUACCAUUGUAUCCAAAUAACAUACUACAUUGAUUUUUCUGACUUUCUGUUGGUCUCCGAGUGAAAUGCAGGCAUUUGCAGAUGAACUGGGGAUUCCUUUCCUGGAGACGAGUGCCAAAGAUGCAAUCAAUGUGGAGCAGGCUUUCUUGACCAUGGCCGGCGAGAUUAAGAAAAAGUAAAAUCACUUAACUCUUUCCUUCUUUCCGACUGUUCUUAUUCAACAAUCACCAUUAUUGCUGGUUAUGUGCAUUGUGAUGAAAAUUCUGCAAUGAAUAACUUUUUACCUAAUGUUUUCUGUUGGAACAAAUUACUCUGGUAGAAAAGCCCUACAGGGUUUGAGAAAUCCCAUGAUGUGAUGAUUGUGAGCAUUUUAGACACCGUGUAUGGGUUUAUUUUGUGACUAUAAAAUGUUAAGAUAUUUCUAGUUUUGGUUUGUAGUGCAUAAAAGGAUUCAAAAUUUGACAUCUGUCUAAAUCAGAUUACUAACAUGACAAUGUACAUAUGCAAGAUGUGAGGAAUUGUUUUAUCUCACCCCUAAACUUUAAGAAAUUGAAACAUUAUUAUUCAAAAUAUUUAACAUUUCCAGAAUUGAUAGUUGUCUAUUUGAGCAGUGACUGGUGGUUAUCAUGAACUGAUGUGUGGUUGUGGUUUCAAAUCUUGGUGAAACCUGUUGUCAUAUGCUGAUUAACAUAGCUAGUCUCUGAAACAAUUUGUUGAUUCACUAAUUAUGAGUUCAAAUUUGAUGCAGAAUGGGCAACCAGCCUACUGCAAACAAAUCUUCUGGAACAGUUCAGAUGAAGGGAUAGCCAAUCCAGCAAAACAGCAACCGCUGUGGUUAGCCGAGCAUCUUAUUUUACUUCUACAUGUUAGCUGACUGAUUGUAGACAGUUUUAACUAUGUUGACUGCAUUAUCUUAUGAAUCUUUUAAUCUGUCAAAUAUUUAUUUCCUGCUUUAAGUUCUUUCCCGUUUAUAACAAAUUUGAUUUCUUGCUCUAUAGCAUUCCAAAUUCCUGUUAAUUUACGAGGGAAAAAGAAAAGAGACGAAAUGGGAGAAAAUGGUCAAAUUUGUUAGGGGGGGAGAGCUGUUGAAGUAGUUUUUGUUCUCGUUUAUCAUCGUGACCCUCUUGUCGCUUAUCUACGACCUGGAAGUCCGGUCAUAUCGGAUGGGUAAAGUUACCGAAACGGCAUCAUUUUGGGUGAAAUAUCAUGUUUAUGUAACACUUUUGAUAAUAUUUUUAUGCAACAAAAAAAUGUUUGCAGUACCCUUCUCACAUUGUGAAGCGCAUGAUCGGAUGAGAGCAGUCUGGAUUCUGGCAUCACAAGCUAAUGCUUUGAUUUGCUUAGUUUGUUUUUUGUUUCUGAUAUUUUCUCGGCAUAGUGUAAAUGUAUGAAGAUGAAAUUGCUGGGUUGGUUUUGUUAUGGAAUUUGGUUUAGUUCACUAACCAUUAAUGCGCAAAACCUCCUAAGACCCUAAAAAAUCCCGUACAUAAUUAAAGAAUUUCAAUUUUAUAUGUACAUAAAUAAAUAACUCUCAAAUAUAUUAUUUGAUAAUCCCAAAAACAACAACUCACUCUAAUAAAUCUCGUAGUCAAUACAUGGUCUAUAUUGCAAGUGUUUUCGAGACUAAUUCAAAAAGAAAAUACGAAGGAUAUAUAAUUGACUUUUACUUGUUAUAAAGAACUCUAAAUAAAUUUAUAUACGCAUCACAGCUAAUUACAGUCUUGGUACUUCAUUAGGUUUUUGUUAAUUUUCUAUACAGUUGUGUUGUGCAUUAAAGCUUUGUUAAAUGAAAUCGGUAGUGAGAAUUAAUUAAUUAAUUAAUUAAUUAAGAUCCAGUUAAUGUAAUUAAUUUUAUUUGAUUUUUUUAAUUCGAGUUCUAAAUUAAUCAAUUAAUUUAGAUUCAUGUGAAAUUGAAGUGAAUUAGUUUCGAACUGUUUUUCAUUCUAUGUUUGUCUGUGUUUACUCUUACUGUUUUUUUUGUUUAAACUUUUGUUUUCUUAUUGUUUACUGAAUAAAUUUCUGAGCUUUGUUUGAGUAUGAUGAUUGAUUUGUGAUUUUAAUCUAAUGUGUUGGGCUGCGAUUUAAUUGAGUGAUGUGUGAGCGCCAAAUUGUGAGCGCCAAGUAGUAAUUAUAAAAUAUUUCAGUCGUCCACUGUUCAGUCACCAAAAACCAAUUUCUAAUCUAUUUCAAAACAAUUUUUGCCAAAGUCCUCCUGGGCUAAUUAAUUCAUACAUUAAUACAGUCCUCCUCUGCUGAAUAAUGCAAACCCGUUACGUUAUUCUACCAUUUCUUAAAUUUAAAGCAUUCCACCAUUUAAUAAAAAAAUUCGAAAACCCAUUAUAUACAAUACAAAAAGCCCACCGACACCAAACCAUAUUAAUUUAAAAUAGUUUUCAAUUGAGAUUUGAAUUUUAAAAUUACAUACACAAACACACCCGAUUUUAAAAAAUAAUAAUAAUCCUAACAAUAAAAUAUUUCAGCCGUCCUCUGUUCAGUCACCGAAAACGGAUUUCCAAUCUAUUAGAACAACCGGUAUAUGGGUUUCCAACCAAUAUUGUCCUCCAUCCUUUCUGCACUUCUCUUCUAUCAACGGACAGCCCACGAUGUAUAAUCGCAAAAGUGAGGAAGGCAGGCCCUUCUCCGGAAAGUAUUUGAGCUUGGGACAAUCCGCGAGAUACAAUUCAGUGAGGUUUUGAAGAUCAACAAUUGAAGAAGAUAGGCGUUCCAGAUUUGGAAAAUUAGAAAUCCCCAGAGAUGUUAGAGAGGCAGGAAGAGGAAGCGUGGUCCCUAAUCUUUUGUCCUCUAGUGGAAAUGACACCAUGUCGUCAUCGCAUCUGCUGAUUGUAAGACGUCGCAGAGAGGAGAAUCUGUGAAAUCCCCGUCCCCGCUCAAUCAUUGACUUCCAAAUCUCCAUAUUACCCCAAAUAUUAAGUGACUGAAGGUUGGUGGGAAGGUCAUCUUCUUCUUCAAGGCUUGGAAGCGCACCUCCUAUUCCUAUUGUUAAUUGUUGAAGAGAGGUCAGAUUGUGCAAUCCCUUGGGUAAGGCCUCUAGUCUCUUACAAUUAGAUAUCGCCAGCGUCCUGAGUUUCGCACAAGGCAAUCCCCCUUCGGGAAAGGACACCAGAUUUUUACAACUAUCUAUACUGAUUGUUUCAAGAGAUGUGUUGUUGUCCAACCUUUCUGCUAUUGACUCCAGCUUUGAACAUCCACCAACACGAAUGGACUUAAGAGACGGAGGUAGAUUGCCAACUUCAAGGGACUCAAGCGUGGCAGGUAACUCGUUUUUUGAAAAUAUACACGUCAGAGAAUCACAACAGUAAAUAUGCAAUUCCUCAAGAAAAGAUGAGGUGUACCUUCUGCCGCUGCUACACUGGAUGCCCUCUUCCACUGUCAAAGUCCUUAUAUUAUCGCAACGGCAGAUCUGCAACUUCUUAAGGCUCGAUGGUAGCUGGACAGCAGCAAUAUAUGUCAACGAACGGCAACCCUCAAUAUUCAAGAUCUCGAGAGACGAAUUGGUGUCGCACAUCCAUGCCUCUGGUAACGAUUUCAGUGCAUCACAAUACCUAAUCUCAAUUUUCCUCAACUUGGAAGGCAGAGCAACCUCAGGAAAGGAAACAAGGGAAUGACAAUCGCAGAUUUCUAUCUCUCUCAAGGAACUGAGGCUGAGCGAUGAUUGUGGCAGCUUCACAAGGCCUUUGCAUUCGCUCAAUCUUAGAUAUUCGAGUCUGCAUGACAACUCGCAGAGCUGCUGUUGUUGGUCUUUCUCUUCCUCCGCCACCAAGGAUUGAAUUUUGGGACACCGUCUAAUCGUCAGUCUUUUGAGAGAGCAAAUGUCUUGCAGUAAUUCGUUAUGACUCUUCCAUAUAUGUGUUUCAUUUUUCAUAUUAUUUAUCCCCAAUUCUUCCAGUUUUGGUAUUCGCGGCUUCAAUGGCUCUGUGAAAAACACUUGAUUUGAUGUAUCUCUACAAACCACUGAAUUCUGUGAGCCGAGAUGAUCAGUUGCACUUCUCCACACAACCUUUUUACAUCCACCAAUUUCAAAUUUGCAAAGAGCUGGAAGACUUGCAACUGAAACUAGCAAUUCUUCACAUCCUUCAAUUGCAAGCAUCUCCAAUGCAGGAAGGUGUUCUGGAAAUGUUCCUUGCAGCUUAGAACACCUUAUAAUAUGAAGCUCUCUCAAUUUAGGAAACCAUUCAACUCCCUGACCAGUUCUAAGAGGAAUCCAGUCUUCCCAUUCUUGCAUGUUUUCAAAACGAAGAGUUUCCAAGCAUGGAAAAGGAAUCGGGGAAUCAUUCCCAUAGAACUCUGAACCCAAACUCUUUACUCUACUCAUUCCACGCACUGCAAGAUGCUUUAGAGAGGGUAGUUGCCCGACUGACGGCAAGGUAGUACACACGCUGCAAUCUUCAAAAUUUAAGGUCGCUAAAUUUGAGAAUGAGGAAUCUCCCAACCAAGUUGGAAAUUGUUUACCUUCAUAGCCACUGAUACAAAAUUGUUCCAGAUUUUCAUGAGGUUUUAGCAUGACGAGCACAUCCUUUUCAGUUUCUGCCUCCCUUGAAGACAAACCAUUGGUACUCUGUGUCCAUUGAAACUUUAACACUUUAAGAUUCUUCUUUCCAUCCAAUUGAGCCUCCUUCGCAUCACCAAUGUCUUUUACGUUCUCCAAUUUUGAAAUGUUAAGUGUCCCACGAAGAUGCGUCAACAAUUUUAGCUCUCGUAUCCCGGAACCACUGUCUUUUCCCACAACAAAAUUACACAGCGUCUGAAGGAAAGUCAACUUACCAAUUCCUAGUGGCAUCUCCUCCAAUGAAUCUGUCUUUGAAUUAUCGAGAUGAUGCAAUUUGAUGAGGUUUCCCAUGUCUGCACACAACUUCUUCAGUCGCCGACAGCCCUCCAGCAGAAGAGUGUGCAAAUUGUAAAGCUUGUUGACUGAUUCAGGCAGAGUUCUAAUCUCAGUUAGAGAUAGGUUAAGGUACCUUAAAUACCUCAAAUCACCAAUUGAAUCCGGUAGCUCAGAGAUGUGAUAUCCACGCAAAGAGAAGACCCUCAACCGUUGGAGUUUGAACAACUUAGGAAGAAUGCUAUGAGCCAAGUAGCCGGGCCGGCUACUUAACAACGUUACUGGUAAAAGAGUUCGCAAAUGUUGGAUAUCGUACAACUCCUCAAACCUUUUAACACCAUCGUAAUCUCCACGAAUGUACGACAGAUGACGAAGAUUUCUUGGAAAACUUUGUUGCUUGUCAACCUCUGAGAUAUACUCCAUUCUGAAGUACAUUUCCCCAGCAGCCCAUUGAGCAAGAUCAUUGAUGAGGUCGUGCAUCACAAAUCGUGAUAUACUGUUGCUUGAUUGCUGGAAAAAAGAUCUUGAACGUAGCUCUUGAAAGAACUUUCGACCUAGAUCUUCACUGGGAUUCCCACUCUCUCCGUGAUCCAAGAAACCCGAAGCACACCAUAAUAAAAUUAUCUCCUCCUCUUCAAAUUCAUAAUCCUUUGGAAACAAUGAGCAGUAUGCAAAGCAUUGUUUCAAAGGUGCCGAAAGAUAAUAGUAGCUCACUCUAAGCGCCGGUAUAAUGUCACAUCUCUCUUCUGGUAAAUCCCAUAUCUUGCAACUGAGCACACCUUCCCAAUGACUCCGGUCAAGUUUACCACGCAAGAGACCACCAAGAGUUUUCGCAGCUAAGGGCAAGCCGUUGCAUUUGAUCACUAUCUUCUUGCCAAUUUCCUCCAAUGACUUGUUUGAACUGAUAUCUCUUGCCCCUAAAGAGUGUUGAGCGAACACAGACAGACAAUCAUCAUUUGACAGCUUUUUCAAAUGAUAAGCCCGAGCAGUCCCCAUGAUGGCUGCAACCUCUUGAUUACGAGCUGUGACAAUAAUCUUACUCCCCGGUGCGCCAGCUUCAAAUGGACGGCUCAUGUCAACCCAGUCAUUGUAAUUCUCAUUCCAAACAUCGUCUAAAACAAGCAAAAAUUUCUUUUGAGAUAACUUCUUCUUCAGCUCCUCUUGAAGCAAAUUUAAAUCACUGUCAUCAGUAGUCUGCUUAGUAAUGGAUCUUAGAAUUGUUUUUGUUAGCCUGAUAACAUCAAAAUCAUCAGAGACACAAGUCCAUGCCUUGAGAUCAAAAUGACCCUGCACUCGAGCAUCAUUAUAGACAAGCUGAGCGAGAGUGGUUUUGCCCAGCCCGCCCAUACCUAUAAUAGGAAUAACAGAGAAUUCACCAUCAUUUCUCAAAUCAUCCCUCAACAGCAAUUCAACAAUUUCAUUCUUUUCUGUUUCCCUCCCAUAUACCUUGGCUUCAGUCACUAAAGAGGUUGUGGGUAGUCUUUGCCUGUCUUUUCUGGACCUCCCAGCUGAACUUACGUUCAAACCGAGCGAGUCUUUCUGUGUUACAAUAUCUUGAAAUCUGUAGUUGAUCUCUUUGAUUUUGGACAUUAUGGCGUAAUCGAACUGAAUCGAUUGUGGGGUAAAAGUGGUGCAGCAAGUAGGAAUGAGCUUCUGAAACUUACUUGUUCUUGUACGACUGCUACUGGGUUGAUCCUGAGCCGCAGCUGGAUCUCCAUUUCCAAGCAGCACCUUCCUCCGGAAAGCCCCAGUUUGAAACUCAUCCAACAAGUCUUCAACAUCAAAAGCCAAGUUCUGAAGCUCGCCAAGCCACAACUUCACAAUCUCAUCAGUCUUCUUUUCCUCAGCAUCAGCAAGCACCGCCUUGACCUUCAAAAGCAUCGUCUUCCACUUCAUUAGAUCGGCCCGGAUUUGAUCUUGGCGUGGAAACAACCGAAUCCCCACUGAAGCUAACUUAUAGACCAACAACUCAACGGACGCCGUCAGGAUUGCCUCUCCGAUGAUUGACAUUUUUUUCUUUUUUUUGUUUUGCAAAGAAAGAAACAGAAUUUUGAGUUUUGAGAAGCAAAAUGAGAAAAUUGAACAGUAAGUGUGGAGGGUCAAGCAAAAUGCGCGUAUCAAGUCUUCCACUUGUUGUUUAUUCCAGUAAAGUGAAAAAAAAAUAGAGACCACGACCCUUUAAUAAUUUAGCAAUUCACCGGUCACGAGUCACCACCACUCGUUACCAUGAAUAUAAUAAAUUGCACCUAGAUAUUUGCAGGGUCCAGCAACAUUGACCCAGUGUCCGGGUAAAUGCUGAAUAACGAGGAAAAUGGAAUGUAUCAACUACGAACCUUCGCUUUACAAGUCUUCAAACUCAUAAACCAAGUUAAAUCAAAACGUUUAUCUCUCUCACCCUUUUUGCCAUAUAAUUACUUUAUUUAUUGAAUUAAUUUCCAUGCUAAAACGAAGACUUAAAAGUGCACUACAAUUUUUUAUAAUCACAAUGGUAAUUCCUACUAUCAUGUUAUCUUAAUGUCGUGUCAAAAUAAAUUAUAAUAAAAUUUUUUUUAUAUGAACAUUUUUUUUAUUUAUGAAUUUCUUAAUUUUUAAUAUUUUUCUUACUCUUUAGUCUUAAUAUUUGUAUUUCUCUCUUCAAACUUUCUUUAUUAUUUAAUUUUUAAAGAAAAAUAUAAAAAAAGUAAGAAAAAUAUUAUACUUAAAAAAUAGUGAAUAUUUUAUGGGUCUAAUACAAGCCUGUAUUAUUUUUGACAAUGAAAGAGCACGCGAAAAAUCUCACUCAUAGAAAACUUUGUGAAAGGCAUUUGAAUGUGUGGCCACAUUUACCGAACGAAACGAUAAGGCUUUAGCCCUAUAAUUGCAAUUAGUUUGUCUUGUAACUAAAUUAUUGCCGACAAGCAGCCAUGCAUGUAAUUAGUCACAAGUUGCUUUGAAAUAAAUAGGUACUUGACAUUUGGCUCACUGAUUAUGUGUGCAAUAUUCCCGUAUUUCCCAUUACUUCCCGUACUUUAUGCAUUAUUGUUUUGUAUGUCUUUCGGUGUUUACGGUGUAGUUAGGGAUGGUAGCGGGUAGGGUCUGGUACGGGUUUGACAUCACCAAACCCGCAUCUACAAAAAAUUUUAAUUACGUAAUUCAAAUUAUAAAUUUAUAAAUAUUGCCUAAAAAAAAAUCACAUAAAAUACUUAAUUCUAGAUUUUAUCAAUGUAAAUGAAAAAUGAAAAUAUCAACAUUAAAAUAAAUACACAAAAUAUAUCAAUUUAACACGAAUUCUCAAAUUCAAUUAGCAAAUAAAUAAGUCUAUCACAACUCGAAGUGUUUUCAACUGAAAAAGAAAAAAAAGAGAAAGAGAAAAAAACAAAGAACUACAAAUCAAAGUAGCACCCAUAACCUAUUUCAUAGGCUCAUUCAACACCAAGAUUCAUUCAUUACCACUAGCACCCAUUCAACGUGGUUUUUCUAAACAAAAUAUAAAGUACAAAAUUACAAUAAGCAUAUCAUACUCCAUGCUUUAAGUUAAAGAUCCUUAUAUAAUUUUAUGAAUAAAUUUUUAGUGAAAUUUUAUGAUUAAAAUUAAAAAUACAAAUAUUAAAAUAAGAAUGUUGGACAUCUGCGCAACUAUUUGCUAUUUUUUUUUCUCUAUAAAAAUUCACCUGCAACUUACAGCAGAUUUAAAUUUAUAAUAUCAAACUUGAUUGUAGCUUGCAAAAUUUUUGGAUGUACGAUAAUUUUGCCACCCUAAGUGUAGUUAGUGUGUUUCCAAUUGGCUCCUAUAAAAAGCCUAGAAGUUGUUUGAAUAAUGAGGGAGGCAAAUAUUUCCCAAAGAUAUUCUCUUUUUCAAAUUCUUUUCUUUUCUCUAUUAUUGUAACUUCAAAUCCUUGAAAUUACAUAUUUCAAAUCCUUGACAUGAACACAAUGUUUUGACAUAGUGGCUUUUGGCUUGUCCAGAGAAAUUUAGGAUAGAUUUUGAUGUAUUAAGGCUCGUUUUACUAUUGAGAUUUUGGAACUUUUGAGCUACACUUGAAAUUUGUAUUAUUCUAAUAGAGUUGUACCCUUCGAUAUGUGAAUGGUAUUAAUCAGGUGUUAUGUUUACAGCAGUUAAAGGCAUAUUGAAUCAAAGUCCACUUUUGAUUGAGAUUUUAAAGUAGGUUUUUAAUUUGAUAGCUACUCAAGUUCAAAUAUUGGAACCACAGUGCUUUAUAACCAAGUGGGAGAACUUCUGUCCUGAAAGUUGAAGGCUGCAUACCGAGUUUUACUACCAACAAAAAUUGGUGUUAAGACUUUAGUUGCCCUCCUACUUAUAGAUAAGGGUAAUUAGGACUUUACAUCCCCUCCUGCUAAUAGAUAGGGGUUACUAGGAAUAUUAAAAAAAUGUUCAAAUAUUGAAAAAAUAGGUAUGGGUUAUAAAAUUCAUAAUACAAGAACAGUAAAUCAAGAUAAAAUUUAAAAAUUUAGAACCAUGAAAGCGUAACUUGUAAGUUUCAAAGAAGCAUGUGAAAACAUAUGCGUAUCGAUACCCAUUAAGGGUGGGCAUUAAGAUCGGGUUAACUCGAACCGAACCUUAAAUUUAUUUUGGGUUCAAUUUGAUUUUGGUUGAACCUUUCAACUGAGUUGAAAACUUAUAAACGAUUGGGGUNNNNNNNNNNNNNNNNNNNNNNNNNNNNNNNNNNNNNNNNNNNNNNNNNNNNNNNNNNNNNNNNNNNNNNNNNNNNNNNNNNNNNNNNNNNNNNNNNNNNNNNNNNNNNNNNNNNNNNNNNNNNNNNNNNNNNNNNNNNNNNNNNNNNNNNNNNNNNNNNNNNNNNNNNNNNNNNNNNNNNNNNNNNNNNNNNNNNNNNNNNNNNNNNNNNNNNNNNNNNNNNNNNNNNNNNNNNNNNNNNNNNNNNNNNNNNNNNNNNNNNNNNNNNNNNNNNNNNNNNNNNNNNNNNNNNNNNNNNNNNNNNNNNNNNNNNNNNNNNNNNNNNNNNNNNNNNNNNNNNNNNNNNNNNNNNNNNNNNNNNNNNNNNNNNNNNNNNNNNNNNNNNNNNNNNNNNNNNNNNNNNNNNNNNNNNNNNNNNNNNNNNNNNNNNNNNNNNNNNNNNNNNNNNNNNNNNNNNNNNNNNNNNNNNNNNNNNNNNNNNNNNNNNNNNNNNNNNNNNNNNNNNNNNNNNNNNNNNNNNNNNNNNNNNNNNNNNNNNNNNNNNNNNNNNNNNNNNNNNNNNNNNNNNNNNNNNNNNNNNNAGAUAUCAAAAUCACAUUCUUCAAUUCUACAAUUUCAAUUCAUCUUCAUAACUUCAACUGAAGAAUUGAUUGUAUCUCGUUUUAAUUUUUUUUUAUGUAAAGAUAAAUAUAAAAUAUAAAUGGUGAGGAGACUGAAAAAGUAAAAUCAAAAGAAGAGCACGAGUUUUAUUGAAAAUUACUUUUUUUUCAUCAUUUUGCCAGAGUGAAUGUAUCUACAUUUAAACGAAAGAAGCACAUUUGUUUGUAUUAGCUUUUUUAUUGUAUUUUUAAUAAUAAGUAAUUUUCAAUUAACUUAUAUCAUUUUUUACGAAAAUAAUAGGUGUUAGUUAGUUGAUUCAAAUGGCAAGACCUCUUGGGAUAGAGUUUGUAAUUUAGUGGCUUAUCAAUUGUUUAAAUAGGGCAUUAUUAGAGCCAAAUUAUUGUAUUUGGUUAAAAAACUCCUACUUUGCUUACAACUUUAUUAUCCUAUUAUGUUUAUUAAUAAAUAACAAUUUUAUUGAAAAAAAAACAAGAUAUGUUGAAAUGAUACAAAAAAUUUGGGUUGUAAAUCUUACUCGAAUUUAGCUUGAGAUUGGCAUUGUUAGCAUAAUAUUUGAAGAUAUAUUUUUUAAAUUAAAAAAAAAAAGAAAUUGGGUUCACACUAGUUAGUUUUAACUCAUAGUGAGAUUUAAACAAAAUCGGAAUAAUAAAUCUUGAUAUCCUAACUCAUGGAUAACAUCUACAUAAAAUAAUAAAAUCUAUUGUGUCGAAAAUAAGGGGUCUAAAGUUUGAAUUUCACUCACAUAGGUAGCAAGAGAAUCAAAUUAUUGUUAGAUUAAAUUAAUUAAAAAAAUUAUCUGAUAUACAAAACACAGCAUAUCAAAAAAAUUGAAAUAAAAGAAAAUUGAAAAGCAAAACGAUUGAGAGAACGAAAAACUAACACAAGAAAAUGCCGAUAAUUAAUUGCCUCAGCGGGCACCAACUUAAUUAUGCUUAUUAAAGCCUGGUUUAUUGUUAGAGUGCAAUUUAUGCACUAGUUUUGCAUUAUUUACUUCCCUUAAUAUCAAUGUUUUGCACUUAAUAAUAGUGAUUUACUUGUGUUUUACUUUUGUAGGUGCAAUUCUAUUAAUUGGUGAUAAAAUUAAGCUAAAAGAUGAUGUUUAAGGAGGAUUGUUCUCUUGGAGAAAUUAUGAGCGUCGAAGAACUUUGUUGAUAAGGCAUGGGCACGUGCUGUCAACUGCGGACCUGCAGUUUUUAGUUUAAACGUGUUUUGUAUUUUUGGCUAUUUUUGUAAUUACGAAUUUAAUAUUUCAGAUAUUAGUAUUUUAUUUUAAAUAGAACUCUAAAAGAGAAGAGAGAGAGAGAGUAUUUAAGAGAGGAAUCUAUUGUGAAAAAUGUAUUUACGCUUUAAUUUUUAUGUGAGCUUUGAUUAUCUUACAUUAGGGACAAUGUAAGUUCUUGGUGUGGGGGAGGGAUUUUUGCAUUAUUGAUGUCUGGAAGUAUUAUUUUCACUCUACUCAUCUAUUUUCAUUCUACUCAUCCUUAAAUGAUUUUGGAGUUAGUAUGCUUCAUAUAUUAUUAAUUUUCUUUUCUUUUCUUUCUCACUACUCUUUUCCCAUCUAUUUUUUUUACUACAUACAUCUUUCUCGCUUAUUAUCCUUUUUACCUUUCCUUUUAUUUCUCACUCAUACCUUCUUCUCAUUCUAUACCACUAUUGAUGGUUGAUUCAUUUGAAGAGUGUACAUGAUUUGAUAACAAAUUUACCAACUUUGUGAGGAUUUGAGCCUAUGAGCAACCACUUUGCUCUAAUAUUUUUGUUAUGUGAAUAUCAAUCUUAGUUUUUUUAUUCUAGAACUUGCUUUGUUAUGCAUGUUGAAGCCGCAUUACGGGAUUUUAUGCAUUAAAAUGAUAAGGGCAAACCCUUUUCCAUUUUUCUAUUCUCGCAUUUUUUUUCUCUACCCGAAGACCUUUAUUUGCUAUCUUUGUUUGAGCCUUAACCAUUACCCAUCUAAUCCUCUCCGUCUACUUAACCAUUUUUCUUCUUUUUGAGCCUCAAUUUAAGGAGAUUUUUGGACUCAUUGUGUGGAUAUAUUUUGUGUUUUUUUUACCUUGUAUUAAAGUUUCUCAAUUAGAUCAACAAGCAUUAUGCUUGAAUUAAAUUGUGCAAGGUUCGUUUCUUUUGUUUGAUUAAAAAAAACAAAAAAUAAAAAACAAAAAAAAGGAAAAAGAAAAAAAAGAAAAAGAAAAAAAAUCGAAAAAAAAUCGAAAAAAAAAAUUAAAAGUUUACAUUCUUGGUGACUUGAGUAGAAAUAAGCAUUUUGAUAUCAUAAGUUCAUUCAAUGAGUUCAUUCUUCUCAUUUUGAUAUCUUUUUCUCUUUCAUGGACCUUUCUUUUUCAUUUAACCUAUUUAACCCCAUUGCAACCCUUUUAAGACCCUUAGAUUUUUGCAUUUUAUUCAUGUUGUGGAUUGAGAUGUGAUAUAUGAGCAAGCUUAUGGUAAUAGCAUUCUUUGAUUUGAUUUGAGUGAAUAAAUGACACCCUAAACACUUUGAGUGCAUGGAGUGAAGUCAUUGAGAGGGCUAUUAAAUCUUGUUGCACUUGAAUUUUGAAUGUAUCUUCUUGGUGGUUGAAUGUUCUUAUUCUAUCUUAUGAGAUUCUAUGCUUUAAAAUCCUUGUCUCUCGAAUGUUGAUCGACUUAAUUUCUUGAGGUAUGGUUGCUUAGAAUUAUUUAUGGAUGAGUUGAGAUGAGAAUUGAGUGGAGAUUUGGGAUUAGUCUUGAGUUAUAUGCUUGAGGACAAGCAUCAUCUUGGUGUGGGGGAAUUUGUUAGAGUGCAAUUUAUGCACUAGUUUUUAAUUAUUUACUUCCCUUAAUAUCGAUGUUUUGCACUUAAUAAUAGUGAUUUACUUGUGUUUUACUUUUGUAGGUGCAAUUCUAUUGAUUGGUGAUAAAAUUGAGCUAAAAGAUGAUGUUUAAGGAGGAUUGUUCUCUUGGAGAAAUUAUGAGCAUCAGAAGAACUUUGUUGAUAAGGCGUGGGCGCGUGCUGUCAACUGCGGACCUGCAGUUUUUAGUUUAAACGUGUUUUGUAUUUUUGGCUAUUUUUGUAAUUACGAAUUUAAUAUUUCAGAUAUUAGUAUUUUAUUUUAAAUAGAACUCUAAAAGAGAAGAGAGAGAGAGAGUAUUUAAGAGAGGAAUCUAUUGUGAAAAAAAUGGGGAUUUUAGAUUGAAGAAAAGAAAGAAACCCUAGAUCUAAUUUUUCUCUUCUCUCUAUGAAGAACUAAACUUAUUUUUCUGGUUGAAGGUUAAUGAAGCUUUGAUUCAUCACUACUGUGAGAUCUUUCUUAUGCUUUAAUUGUUUUAUUACUCUUUGGGUAUUUGUUUAUUCUCUGAAUUAGUUUCAUGAUUAUGUUUGUUAAUUAGGUAAUUGGCCACUAUUUAAUUAUCAACUUAAUCUAUUGUCAAUUAAAGGAUUCAUCGUAUGAAGAAUUUAAUGUUUGUGACAAAUAACAUAGCAGAGAGUUGUGUUGUGAGAAUAAACAAUCUAAUUUAAAUGAAUCAUCAUAUGUGUUGAUUAGGAUUUGGGUCUCUUUGGUUUUUCAGGCUGUCAAUUGAUUAAAUCCUAUGAUCGUAUCUAGGAUUGUCUAUUGAUUAGGGAAAUAACCAACGGUCGUACCUUGGUUAUCGACUAGUUAAGGAGAGAUUGGCUAUUAGAGGGUCUCAGUAGUUAUAACCGGUCUAUUCAUAAGUAAUAAUAAUCUAUAUUUGAAUCAAUGAUCAGUAGUCGAAUCAAGCUGAGUUAAUUCCUUCAACCAGAGCUUUCUCCAAUUUGAAUCACAACUUUAAUUUACAUUCUCGUUAUUUUAAUUUAAUUUUUAUUAUUGUCAACAAAACCCCCAUUUUAUGUUUUACGUUUUAAAAGGAUUUAAAUAAUUACCGAUCUCUGUGGACACGACCCUGCUCAAUCACUAUACACAAUUUAUUUAGAGUAAAAAUUUAUUUUUGUUGGCUUCGACACCCACCAGUUAUUUCAUUUUCAUUGAUAAUCAUUUUGACACCGGUCAAAUUUAAAAGUUUAAAUAAUGGGGGCCAUUUUUCUUUCCAGCUAUGCCCAUUAGCUAAUAAAAGAACCGCCGAAAGGGUUCGGGGAUAAUAUAGUAAUAUGAUUGAUAAUCAUUUUGGAGCUGAGUAUUCUUCGUUCCACAUUUUGGGUUUUGGUUGACCAUAUUUUAAUACUUUUUCUGGAAAACAAAUAUAUAUUUAGUGACUUGUAAUGGGUGCAACUCAUGUUUUUGAAACAUUAACAUCUUUACUUACUUACACUAAUGCGGCAACUGCUGCUUGCUUUUUUUUUUUUCCUUUUGCUUUUGGUUAAUAAUAAUAAUAAUAAUAAUAAUAAUAAUAAUAAUAAUAAUAAUAAUAAUAAUAAUAAUAAUAAUAAUAACAACUUUUUAAUUUAAUAUAUUAUUAAAUAAUAUUUUUAUUUUUAUUUUUACAUUAUAAUUUAUUAUAACUAAUAAUAAAUAUUUAAUUUUGAAUAAUAUUAAUUUAAAAUUAAUAAUAUUAUAAAUAAUAAUAUAAACUAUUAAUACAAUUUAAAUAUAUCAAUAUAAUAUAAUAUUUAAUUUAAAUUAAUCACAAAAAAUUAAUACAAUAUAUUAUAAUACCAAAUAUUAUACAAUAUUACUAUAAUACAAUUAUGAUACAAUUUGAGGGAGAUUGUCAGCUUUUUCGGAUUAAAAAUAAUAUAUACCACUUACUCUAUUGUUUUUAUAAUGUUCAACAAUCCCCUUGAGAAAAAAAAAAAACGAAAAGAAGGAAUAAAUAGAUGAUUUGCUUGAUAUUGUAUCUUAGAAAUAUAAAAUAUAUAUUUAUUAUUAAAAGUAUUUAAAAAUAAUAAAGAGUACAUAAAAAAUAUCUUAUCCUCAACAACAAGAUCAGACGACGUCAAUUCAGCAAAAUGACUUGUACAAUUUGAAAGUCCAGCAACGGUCACCUCUUAAUGUUAUUUUUACUAUAUUAUAUUGAUAUUUUGUUUUGUUAAUCAUAUAAGUCAAUCAAUAAUUAUUUAAUCAUUAGAAUUAAAACUAAUGUAUUAAUUAAAAUUCAAAAUCUAUUAUAAAAAUAGUAAAUAUUAAUACAAAGAGAUGGACAUAUUACAAAAUACAUUCACCAAAAGUUCUAUUAUACUUAAAAUUCUCAUUCACAAAAAAAUAAUAAUAGUUGAAUACAUGUACAAAAAAAGGGGAUAAAUAAAAAAUAAUAAUAAUAAAUAAUAAAAGGAUAGUUUAUAUAAUAAAAAAUAAAUUUAUUGAAUAGGGAUGUUAAUAAUAAAGAAUAAUAGCCGAUCAAACUCACUUUACAAUAAACUGAGAAAUCAAAAUCACAUUCUCCGAUUCUACGAUUGACUCUUUUUCAUCAUUUUACUGGAGUGAAUGUAUCUAUAUGUAUUGGGGACCAUAAUGGAAACUGAUAGAACCUACAAGGGCUAAAAUUAGAACAACGAACGAUAUCUCAAAGUCGCCGAAACGUAAGUAAUUAAUCUUAUCUUUCAAUUGAUUUUUUGUGGAGACAGAGACAAACCCGAACAGCAAAUAGCCAUAAAUGAUAGGACAAUUAAAUUGGAACUCUCCGCGGACCCACGAUUUAAUAUCUUUAGAUUGUAACGGUUUAACCAAAAAAAAAACAAUUUUAGUAAAAUAUUUCUUAAAAAAUGAAAAAAAAUGUUGAAAAGAAGAACAAAAUUGUGGUCCACGUGUCAUUUCAAAAUAGGUUGCUGGCAUAAACAACCGUCCCCAUCUCGGACAGAUGUUAUUUGAGUGGUUGGUGCGCGUUUCCACUUUUUUGUUUUAGAUGCAACGACUCAUGCACUAUAUAUAUAUAUAUAUACGUAAUUUCUAUCUUAUAUAUGUAUAAGAUACAUUCUUUAUCUUUUAUCUCCCUUAUAGAAUAAUAUAUGUGUGGAAUUUAUAUAUAUUGUUCAUAUGAAAAAAAUAUAUCUUAUAUGCAUGAUAGAAUAAUCCAUGAAUCUAAUGUUAUUAGUUUAAAUAAUGGGUGCAACUCAUGUUUUUGAAACAUUAAGAUCUUUAGUCAUUCUGUUACUAUCCCGUGGUUAUUUAAGUUACAAGAGACAGUAAAAAAACAACGUCAUAUUUUAAUUACUUACACUAAAUAAAUUACUCACACUGAUGCCGCGUCUGCCGCUUACUUUUUUUCUUUUUUUUUAUCCUUUUGCUUUUGUUUUUAACUUUUACUUUUACUUUUUGACUUUUGCUUUUGGUUUAUUAUAAUAAUAAUAAUAAUAAUAAUAAUAACUAUUUUUUAAUUUAAUAUAAUAUUAAAUAAUAUUUUAUUUUUAAUUUUACAUUAUAAUUAUUAAUAUAUAAUUUAUUAUUCAAUAUUAUUAUAUUAUGUUUUUUAUUUUUAAUUAUAAUUUAUUAAUAAAUUUAUAAUUUAUUAUAACUAAUAAUAAAUAUUUAAAUUUAAAUAAUAUUAAUUUAAAAUUAAUAAUAAUAUAAAAUAUUAAUACAAUUUAAAUAUAAAUUAAUAUUUAAUUUAAAUUAAUCACAAAAAAUUAAUACAAUAUAGUAUAGCACCAAAUAUUAUAUAUUAUUAUUAUAAUACAGUACUAAUACAACAUAAUAUAAUAUAAUACAUUAAUAUUAAAAUAAUAUAAUACAGUAUGCGAAAUGAACCGAAAUGGUAUUACUUUGUUUGUCUUGUUAUUUACAAUUAUUUAAUCUGUAGACCCACUCAUGCUCCUUCUAUGCAACAUAGAUACAAUUUGAGGAAGAUUAUCAAUUUUUUCUGAGAAAAAAUAAUAUAUACCACUUACUCUUUAUUGUUUUUAUAAUGUUCAACAAUCCGUUUGAGAUGAAAAUAAAUAAAUAAAAAGAAGGAGUAAAUAGACGAUUUGCUUGAUGUUGUAUCUUAGAAAUAUAAAAUAUAUAUUUAUUAUUAAAAAUAUUUAAAAAUAAUAGAGAGUUCAUAAAAAAUAUCUUAUCCUCAACAACAAGAUCAGACGACGUCAAUUCAGCAAAAUGACUUGAACAAUUUGAAAGUCCAGCGACGGUCACCUCUUGGCACACAUACGGCAACGUGUGUAGCAUUGGCAAGAGGUCUCCCAGAAGGACGAUUAAGGAAAGAUUGCAAGACAAAAUCAUGAAAAUAGUAGUACAGAUAUGCAAUAUGCUAAAUUGUCCUCGAUUGAGUCAAUCGCAAUCAAGUCUUAGAAAUCGCACCCCUGUAUUAAUUUCCAGAAAUAUGUUUGUUCCAUAUUUAUCGUGCACGUAUACAUUGUAUGUAUUGGGAAUAGAAAGAGUGUAUGAAAAAAAAUUCUUCAUUCAUCGAUUAAAACUUAAAUUAUGUACGAGGGUUAAGCGCAGCGUUUUUAAAUUUAAAAAGCACAAGUGUCAAUCCACUAAGGUUUGGUCCAAUGGCUAGAGUCACUCCCUCGCGAAAUGAUUAGAGCUCCCACAAAUGUAUUGUACAAGUUUAAUUUAAAUUUUCUUCCUCAAAACUUAAGUGAAGACAUUAUUUUUCAUAGAAGUAGAGUUUUUCUAGGAGUUUGACAUCCCUCAAAUAUUAAAAGAAUUAAAAUCUGAACGAUACUAUAUAAAAUAUAAUUUAAACUGAUCUUAAUAAUUAUAUAAUUAUAAAUAUAAUGAGCAACAGUCUCGUUAAAAAAACAGAUCAAGUGUCAUGAGCCCAUUUAAAUUAACUAAUAUUUGAGGGGGAAAUCUCUGUAUACCAUAGUAUAUAUUCUAUAUCCAGUCAUGGGACCCAUACACGGAUGGUUCCACGUAAUUCGCAGAGUUGAACUGGAGACACUGAUUAGUUCGUUGUCUACUUACCAACUUAUGUACAACUAAGUAAUUGCAUGCACCAUUUGCGACUUAUCUAUCCACCCUGCUUGCAUUGCAUUAACUACGUCACCAAUCACCCACGUCCGCUACUUGUGUGAACGUGUAUAUAAAUACAUAUAUCCGCAGCAUAUUAUCAAACCAGAAUCAGAAGCAACUUAAGUUUUGUUCAUUAGGUUUAUGUUUAUCAACAUGAUAUAUUGUCAAUCAUAAUCGCAAUCAAGUUGUUAAUUAUUUUUUAAAUAAUGUGAAGGAACAAGAUUUUGGCCUUUGAGUGUCUGGUUAAAAAUAUCUCACCUCAAUGUACGGUGUUGUGCUCUCAUCAUCGUACUAUUAUUUGUUAAAAGUAUGUCAAAGAGGAAAGCAGAUUCAAACAUUACUUCAAUUUUAUUUAAGAGAAUAAAAAAAUCGUUAAUAGGCUACUGUUAUUUGUUAGUACGAUUUCACAAAAAAAUCGGUUUCUUAAACAACUCCAACUACAAUUUUUUUUUUACAAAUUUUUGAAUUAUUAAAUCAUAUGUGUGUGUAUAAAUUGAAUAGAAUUAAAAGUGGACUCAAAUGGCUAUUAUGUAAUUUUUUUAUAAUUAAAGAAAAGUUUAGAAUGUAAAAGUGUGUGUGAGAAAACAAAAAAUAUAAAUCACCUUUGAUGUAGUUGUACGGUUGUAAAGAGUUAGAUGGAGAAAUAUAGUAUAUAAUUAAAUUUAUUUUGUUCCUUAAAACGGGUAGGUUUUAUAAGAAUUUUCCAGAGGAGUGCUAAUAUUUCAACUUUUUUUCAAAUGAAGUGAUGUCCUGGAAUAAAAUCACUACUCUAUCAUUGCUAUUAGUUUGUCUUGUAUUUCAAUAAUUGUCGACAAGUAUUAAUUGUGAAUAUUAUUGUUUUAAAAAUUUUAUUAUUAUUAUCGUCGUUAUUCUUAACAGUAAUGACUAGAAUUAUAAUAAAAACAAUAACGUUAAUACAAUAAUAUAACAACAUAAUAAUAUUUUAAUUGAGAGGAUAAGAAUGAAAUUAUGAAAUUUAGGUUGGGUAAAAAUGAUGAGUAUGAGGAAAUUAAAUUACCAUUUUUUAAGCUAAACAAUUCAUAAAUUCCACAUAUUUCAUUCGUAUUUCUCUUAUAUUUUAACAAGUAAACAUUAUCAAUAAUUUUAAUAUUUUAAUUAAUAAACACGGCGUUAACUACGGAACUAAAAGAUCAAAAAAAAAAAAAAAAACAGAGACGCGUGUAUGUAUUGCUUGUGACAAAUCUCACCCGUGGAAAACUUUGUGAAAGGCAUUUGAAUGUGAGGCCACAUUUAAUGAACGAAACGAUAACUUUAAAAGAGAGUAUGUACUGUGUUAAUUAUUAGGCUUUAGCUUAAUGAUUGCAAUUAGUUUGUCUUGUAAUUAAAUUAUUGCCGACAAACACUAUCACGACCCACGUCCGCUACUUGUGUGAGUGCGUGUAUAAAUAUCCGCAGCAUAUUAUCAAACCUGAAGCGUACUAAUAAAGUAUUGGUUCCACUACAAUAGAGUCUCCUUAAGUGGUUUUGAUUGGGUUUGCUCCUCAGUUCGAGUCGCAGAAAAGUCACCUUUGUUGGGAGAACCUGUGCCUCUCAGUUCGAGCGGGGAUUUCUAGUCUGGAUUGUGAUACAGGCUUAAAGGUGCCUCCCACAGUUGGGGCCCUCCCCAGAAUACCUCGUUGUCAAAACCAAAAAAAAAAAAAAAAUCAAACCUGAAGCGUGAUCAUCUUUAAGUUUUGGUUAGGGUUGAUCAGACGUUGGAAGAUAUCUUUCCUAAUUUAAAGAAGAUGGAAACUCCUUAUCCAGGUUCUUAGGCCAUGUUCAGUUGAAUGUCAUUUAUAAUUUUUAUUUUAACAUUAUGUAUUUAUGAAUACAAUUAUUGUUUAUUUUAACAUUAUGUAUUUAUGAAUACAAUUAUUGUUAUGAUUUUUUCAGGUAAGAAUGGGUGGUCUGAGGGUAACCCAAUAACUAUGUACAAUAUUAUUAAUGAUGAGAGUGUGAAUGACAAUUUGGAUUUUAUUCUCGUCCCUCAAUACAGAAGAAAUCUUGACCAUAGCGGUUAAUUGCUAUGUAACUCUUUCGUAUUAUGUUUAAUUAAUAAUAAAAUGAUGGGUUAUUAUUACCUGUCAAUUAUGUGAGUGUCUCUGCUUGAUUUAGUUCACUUAUAAAAUAUCUUAAGAUAUACAAGAGAUUUUCUUUAUUUACUUUCAUGUACCGCGUCUUCUUGUAAAAAGAAACUAAUAAAAAAAUAUCAUUGUGUGCAAUGUAUUGACUAAGUUAGUGUAUUCAUGUUAGCUUAAUUGUGCUCUCUCUUCUUGAUUUUUUUGUUUUUUUUGGUUAAAACAAACUCCACAUAUUGUUGGUUAGCUAAUUCUUGCAGCUAGCAAGUGAUCCUUUUCUUUCCCCUACUGCCUGCCGUAGCAUCAAAUCCUGACAAUUAUAUAUCAAGUGGUAUUCGAGCCGUCAAAUGAUCCUUGGAAACACGCAACAAAUCAAAUGCUGAAUUUUGCCAAGAGAUUCACGAAAUCCUUGCUAGACAUGUCUUUUGUCCAGUUUAUUUCAAACUACGCGAGCAAUGUUCCCGUUACUGUUUAGUAUGUCUUUUGUUGUUUGCAAUGUAGUUAGGGAUGUUAGCGGGUAGGGUUUGGUACGGAUUUGACAUUACCAAAAGCCGGAUCUGUAAAAAAAAUUUAAUUAUCAAAUUCAUUGUGGGUUUUAUUUAUUCAUUUUUUUCCUCUUAACAAAGCCCAUCAGCUGCGGGUUUGAAUGGUACCUAGUGUAUAUUUUUGUGAGUUCCCACGUAUAAAAUCACACUUGCAACAAAACCUAAAAGUUAAAAUUAUGUAAUUCAAAUUAUAAAUUUAUAAUCGUAGCCUAAAAAACCACAUAAAAUACUUAAUUUUAGAUUUUAUUAAUGUAAAUGAGAAAUGAAAGUAAAACAUUAAAAUAAAUACACAAAAUAUAUCAAUUUAACAAAAAUUUUAAAUUUUAAUUACCAAAUACAUAAGUCUAUCGCAACUUAAAGUGCUUUCAAUUGAAAACGAAAAAAGAGAAAGAGAAAAAAAAAGAACUACAAAUCAAAGUAGCACCCGUGACCCAUUUCCCAGUCUCAUUCAAUACCACUAGCACCCAUCCAACGUGAUUUUUCUAAACAAAGUAUAAAGUACAAAAUUACAAUAAGCAUAUCAUACUCCAUGCUUUAAGUUAAAGAUCCUUAUAUAUUUUUAUGAAUAAUUUUUUCAUGAAAUUUUAUGAUUAAAAUUAAAAAUACAAACAUUCAAAUAAGAAUGUCGGACACUUGCGCAACUAUUUACCAAAAUUUUUCUCUAUAAAAAUCGACCUGCAACUUUCAAUAGGUUUAAAUUUAUAAUAUCAAACCUAAUUGCAGCUCGCAAAAAUUAUCUGUUGCGGCCAAGACUUUGGAUUUGCGAUGAUUUUGCCACCCUAAGUGUAGUUAGUAUUGUAUAUCAUGUGGCUCUUAUAAAAAGCCUAGAAGUUGUUUGAAUAAUGGGGGAGACACAUAUCUCCCAAAGAUUUUCUCUUUUUCAAAUUAUUAUUUCUUCUCUAUUAUUGUAACUUCGAAUCCUUAUAAAUUACAGAUUGGAGACAUGAACACAAUGUUUUGACAUAGUGGACUUUUGACUUAUCCAGAGAAAUUUAGGAUAGAUUUUUAUACACUAAGGUUCUAUUUACUAUUGAGGUUUUAGAACUUUUAAGCCACACUAGAAAUUUGUAUUGUUUUGAUUGGUAUUGAAUCAAAGGCAUAUUGAAUCAAAUAUUGUUUACAAUAGUUAAAGGCAUAUUGAAUCAAAAUCCACUUCUAAGGGUUUGAUUGAGUGAUUGUAAAGUAGGUUUUUAGUUUGCUAGCCACUCAAGUUCAAAUAUUGGAACCACAGAGCCUUAUAGCCAAGUGAGAGAACUUGUGCCCUAAAAAUUGAGGGGUGCAUAUCGAGUUUUACCACCAAUAAAAGUUGGUGUUAAAACUUUAAUUUCCCUCCUAUUGUGGAUAGGGGUAAUUAGGAGUUUACAUCCCCUCCUAUUAAUAGAUAGGGGUUAUUAGGAAUAUUAAAAAAAAGUUCAAAUAUUGAAAAUAUAGGUAUGGGUUAUAAAAUUCAUAAUAUAAAGACACAAAAUCAAGAUAAAGAUUUAAAAAUUUAGAACCAUGAGAGCGUGACUUGUAAGUUUCAAAAAAGUAUGUGUAAAUAUAUGCAUUAUUGAUGCCCCAAUUAAGGGUGGGCAUUAAGAAAAAAAAAUCCCAAAAAAUUAAAACUAACCCUAACUAAAAUAUUCGACCGCGGCCUCCUCGUUUUCUUUUCUUCUUCUUCCUCCUCUUGCUCACCCUCAAUGCCCAUUCAUGGAAAUCCAACAGCUCCAAACGCGUUUCAGCCGCUCGCACGUGUGAGAAUUUUUCCUUCUCAUGGGAUUAUUCUUCGCUUGCAUGCCAGCAGAAUAUUCAGGCCGAGGAUUUUUCCGGGCCUAGCCCAACUAUAAGCUCUCCCAAAACCCAAUCAUAAAGUUCAUAACGUUUAGCGUUUGCUAUUACUAUAAUUUUUUUUAACCAAUUUUCACAUUCAUCAACAAAGGCUGACAGAUUUUGCAGAAAAUAAAAUUAAAUAAAAGUACAAGCUCACGAAAUUCCUUUUCCGAUGUGGGAAUCUAUCUACACCUUUCACGUGCCUUUUUUUUUUUGGUUUAUCACAUGUUGAAGUUAAACAGUUGAAGUUAGUGAUGCAAGUUGAAGUUAGUGAUGCAAGUUGAAAGUUGAAAGUUGCAAAAGACUUGGUUGUGAUUUCUCCAAAGGAGAUUUUGAAAAUUUGUUCUGUUGAUUGCAGGUGGAUGAGUCUGUGACCAAGCUGGACUGCCGUGUGCCUCCAGUCCUCAAGCAAGUCCCUGCCCAAGCUCUCUCCGCGGCUCAAAUGGCUCCAGUAGUGGCACGAUCCGUGGCUUCUGAAGUGAAGACUGCCGGUGUAGCCGGCACCGCCUCAGGAAUGGCAAAAUCCGUUUACACCAAGUACGAGCCAGCAGCCAAGGAACUUUACUCCAAGUAAGAACCAAAAGCGGAGCAAUAUGCUGUAUCAGCUUGGCGCAAGCUCAAUCAGAUGCCACUAUUCCCUCAAGUAGCUCAAGUUGUUGUGCCAACUGCUGCCUAUUGUUCCGAAAAAUACAACCAAACAGUGGUGAGCGCUGCAGAGAAGGGGUACAAGGUCUCCUCAUAUUUGCCUUUGGUCCCUACUGAGAGGAUUGCUAAGGUGUUCAGCAACGAGGUUGUUGAAUCGCAGCCUCUGGCUUCUGCUGGACGUGAAGCUGAUGUUGCUGUGUAUUGAUAGCUGUGUUUUCUGUUUUCUGGCCUCACAAUUUUUCUUGCAAGCUGUGGAGUGAAAAUGUUUUCCUUUCUGGAUAUGGGUAUUGGGUUGAAAAUGGAGUGGAUUACGAUUAUUUAAUUUUUAAAGACAUUGCUUAAUUCUGUGGCGUCAGCAUAAUACUUUCUGUUUUUGACUUUUCUUCUGUGUUUAGAUUUUUAGUUCAUUGCUCUUAAUAGUGUUAAAAGUUGGUCACUUUCCUAAAGAAACUCUAAUGAAGGAAAUGAACUUUGGAAUUAAAGUAGAAAUUAUAUGAAAUAUUAAAUUUUAAUUAAAAUAAAAAAUAUAUUAAAAACAUCGUAAAGCAAAAAUUGAGCCAGCUAGAUCCAUUAAGAGUGGCUGGCCCAACCCAACGUCCCAACCCAACAUAACACAAUCACCAGAACUUGUGCUGAGUAUGAUUGUUAAUAUUAUAGCGUGUUUACUAAUAUCAUUCAAAUGUAAUAGUAAUGUAUAAUUAAACAAAAUCAAAAGUCUAUGAUUCCGCUAAUUUGGGGCUAGGGUUUUUCCUUUUCCCAUCCCUUGACUUAAUGAUUUUUAAAAAAUGAAAAUAAAACCCGCACGACAUGACGGGUUCAGUUCCGAUUUGGAUCAAAUUAAGUCCAGUUCGUUAUUGUGAAAUCGUAAUAAACAAAUAAAUUGGGGGCUGAAAAAUCUGGUCGGAAUUUCAAUUUGUAUUAAUUAAUUGACUUUUUGAAUUGCUUUCCAAUAAAAUUAAGCUAUGUUCAAGUGUUUGUAUUUUGGUAAAUUGUGCUGCAUCUAUUUUGCUCAUGUGAUUGUUAAUUUAUUUUGUUUUUCUAGGUUUUGUGGGUAUGAUUGUUAAUUUAUUUUGUUUUUCUGAGUUUUGUUCAUAUGAUUGUUAAUUGAUUUUGUUUGUUCUUUUCUUUACGUGCUGUAAUUUCAUUUUCCGUUGGGGUAAAUUCAAGAAUUAUGAUUUAUGAGUCUAAAUUGUUUUGAACGUAUAAUAUGCGAGGGUUCUGCCUACAAUUACUUUGGCUAGUGUGUCAACUGCAGGCUCUGUGGAGGGUAAGGUAAAAUAGUUUAUGAAUAAAUUGAAAAAUUGGUGAUAUAGGUGGUUACGGCUGAAAUUGUAGAAGAGUUUUAUUCAAUUUCUACCUAGUAAAUGUGAUAUUUACAAUCUCAGCAGAUGAGAGAGUAAGCUUUGCUAUUCAAUACAUGUUUCAUUAAUUCACUUGGGUAUUGAAACCCCGAAGCUUUUUUUUUUUUUUUGAGCAAAGGGAACCUUAUUCGGACUGUUCAACUAAGAAAAAAUGAUACAAGGAAAUGAAAUUAAGUGCCAUGAGGCAUCAGUGCCUACCUCAAUGCUUUCUUCUAUAUGUAACAUUUCUAAUACAUAGUAUGUACAUGAGUGAAAACCUUUGAAGUAAAUAAAUAUAUGUUUACUCUAUCAAAAUUGGACUUCCCUGCAAAUGCAAUCCCAUGAUUGACAAAAAAUGGCCAGCAUCGCUGUGGUGCCAUGUCUGAAAUUUGCUAAAACAACUCGGAGACGGCAUGGGGCACAAGAAGAGAGUUCUUAAGUUCCAAAAUUGUCUACGAUCAAGUGUUGGGAUGGUGAAUGCUUUCACCAUUUAUGCAACUGAGCGGUGAUACUUUUCACCACAGGAUAAUAUUCUGUGUGCACGUGCUUUUUAGCUUUCUCUGAACCAGGUUGCUCAAGCCACUCAUCAUACAAGCUUUUCACCAGAGAAUUUUUGAAAGGAUCAGCUACCAUUACAUUUUCCAAAUAUAUGGUUUCCAGUGUCUUAAUCAACUCCUUCGGUGAUUGCCCUGGCUUAGGCUUGACCUGACGUCCACCAUUCAUGCAACCUGAAGGGCAUGCCAUGAUCUCCACAAAGUGAUAAUCACAUUUUCGCAUUUUCACUCUCCUGACAAUGUUUUGCAGGUUCUGGAAGCCAUAACAUAGGGCAAAUUUCAACAACGUUUUUCCCUCCACUUCCAGAGCCACCUCUCGGAAAUCAGAGUUUCUGAUGGUUUUAAAUUCUAGACGACCUUCAAUAACUUUUCCAAAUAGUGUUUUAGCAGCAUGUCUGAAUACUGUUUCUGCAUAACCACCAGAACUUCCAGCGACCCCAUAAAGAUGUCCUUCAUCAUCAACAUUGGUCAAGAUAAUGCCCCAUAAUAUAGAAUAUCCAACAAUAAAACAUGCAUGAAAAUAAAUGCAAGUAAAUCGAGAUUAUGAAAAUCAUUCACCCACAAAAUGAGAGUGCCACAAUGAAUACCCAAAGCAGGCCACCAACAAAAUUUAAAACAAAAGUAAUUCGUGUAAAAUAUUAAUGGAGCCAAGCAAAGAAAACACAAGAAAUAAGAGUUUUGUUAUUUUACCUGUAGCACUAGGGUGCCAACUCUAACGUCUCCAACUAAAACAAUAAUACAUUUAUUGGUGGAAAAGGCAGAACGUUCAAGACCUUCGUAGCUAGUUUCAAUGGCAAGGGGAACGCUUGCAACCUCAACUCCAUACAUCAGUUUGUUAUUUGUUUAAACACAUAAGUCGUAAAAAUAUUUUCAACUUACUACAUGUGUUUUUUUACUAAGCAGUUGUUCCCCUCCAGGUGACUGGACAUAAACUCUAUUUAAUUUUUUAUAUAUUUUAUAUUUUGAAAAUUUGAUUUAUUGUAGACAAACAAGGGAGUUUGACAUAAUAAAUUCUUAAUUCUUAAUAUAAGGUAUGACAAAAUGAUAUUUUCAUUUAUUCUAGACAAAUUAAAUUUUGUCACAAUAAAUAUUAAUCCAUCAUAAAAUUAAAGGGAAAAUAAUGAUAAUUUAUAUAAUUAAUCUUUUCGGCAAUAAAUCUAAAUAAAAAAUGGUGAAAAGAAUUUAUUAAAUUUUAUUUACUACUAAGGGUGGAUCCAUAACCUUAGCCAUUUUUAGCAAAAGUAAAAUAAACAAAUAAAUAUUUUUUUGUGUAUCGACCUCGAACUCACCGAACUAUAAUAUAACAAGACACUCUUAUACUUGAGAGUUAAAAAUUACUUUUAAGUUGUGUCACCUAGAAGACUCUCUGUGUGUUAUUAUAUUAGGAGAAUUAUAUGCUUUCUACUUAAUAAAUUAAGAUUUACAAUAAAAUAUACUGACUAAAAGGGAUGCAUAUAUCCAACACAAUUUCUUUCGAACACUAAAAUUAUUAUUUUUUAUUUCACACUUAUUACUUUAAACUCUUAUACGAAACAAAUAAGGGCUACUAAAUAACAUGUCAGAUAAUUUUAUUACUUCUUUAAUUAUUACAAUUUAAUUCGGGCUUCUUCUGUAACAAACUAUACAACUCAUACUUUCUAUUACUUACAACAAAUAAAAUAGAGUGUCGAAUAUAUUUUUCUCUUUCUUUUUUAUUGUUUGAACUUAUCUUUCAUCUCAAUUAAGCCGCUAUUUCUUGGUUGAUGAUUUACUAUUUUUAAAUUUAUUGUUGUUAUUAUUACGCAAAUUAUCAUCACGCAAAUUAACAUGUACCAAUUUUUCCAUUUUCCAAUUGCAUAUAUAUUUACUAAAUGCUUCGGUACCGAUGUAAAGCAUCUCCUCAUACUGUCGUCAUCUUAUUUCUUCAAAUUAAUUAAAUCUAACAUGUAAUUUCAUUCCUGUAAAUUUACUUUAAUCUCAUCGCAUACAUUACAUUAUUUUUUAUUUUAAUAAAUAAUUUCUGCUAUAAUUAUCCUAUUACUUAAUUUUGAAAUUGUCAACAAUGAAUAUUAACCUACAUUAAUAGAUUAUGGGACAUUCUCCUAUCAAAUUACUGUUUUCUAAGGAACUAUCUUUUAUGCCUUCUAACGUAACCCUUUUAUCUUCCCUGAUGAACAUAAGAUUCGAAAGUCCUGUAACAUAUUUAGGUACGAGGCAGCAAUUUCACCUUCUAAUUUGAAAAGGAAACUGUAUUAUUCUUACUUUAAAUAACCCUUCAUACCUUAUUGAUGGGUAGAGAGACAUUUUGCAUCCCGUGCGUUACAAUUUUCUUAUUGAUGCCGACAUUCGUGCGAUUCACAUCUCGGUGUCCGAUUGAUAUUGUUUAUCGCCUCCAGCCGGCCGGGGGGGGGGGGGGGGGGUGCAUCUGUCACUAUACAACAUAAUCAGGCCUUCAUUCUUCUCAUCCGCCGCCAAUAUCGUUCAUCUUUGUUCUUUACCACAUGUUCUUGUUCAUUUAAUUUGGAUAUGUUGGUCCACAUCCCCCUGCACACGAAGGUUCACUUUUACGGGUGUUCGCGUCUCAGAUUUUGCGGAUUGCACAUCAAUCCAUAUAUUUUUAAUUCAAUAUAUACUAUUUCUCCUGAUUUCAUGAGUUUUUCCAGAUUUAGAGACUUAAAUCCUUUUCCAAUCCAUCUAAUACGGAAUUUUUUAAUUAUGCUAAUUUAUUAGGGUCUUAUUCUGUAACAAACUAUAAAACUCAUAGUUUCUAUACUUACAACAAACAAUUGAGACUGUCAUAAAAAAUAGUUAAAAUAGAGUGUCGAAGAUAUUUUUCUCUUUCUUUUUUCCUCUUUUAAUUGAUCAAUCAUCUCAAAAAAGCCUCCAUUUCUUGGUUGAUGAUUUACUAUUUUUAAAAUUAUUAUUAUUACACAAAUUAUCGUCGUCGUCGUCGUCAUAAUUAUAAUAUUAACCAUUACUAGUUUUAUUAUUAUUGUUGUUGUUAUUCAAAUUUGGAAAUGACAUGGCCUAUUAUUUAAACUCUAAGGAUAAAAUUAAAAUUACAUAUUAUUCAGGUUAAAUGGAAUUUUUCCCUUUUUUUCCCCACCAAUUACUUUUGCAAUGCAUUGCCUGAUCAUUUUUUUAUUAUUUAUUUAUUUAUUAUUAUUAUUAUUAUUAUUAUUAUUAUUAUUACACGCUACAUAAUUUUUCUUCACAUUUUUUUUAUAUGGUUUUCAUUUACUCAACUCAUACGCAAAUUUCCCACAAAAUCGAAUUAUACACUAACUCAACUGUAAAUUCAUGCCAGGCUACUUUUAAAAUUACAGUUGAUAUUUCGCAUUUUUUUUCCCACCAAGCACGCAAUUCAUUACCUUAAAUCCACUUCCAAAUGUUUUCGUCACUAUUUUCGAAAUUUUCAAAUCAUUCUAACCCCAACCCAUACUUGCACGCUUCCAACUUCUUGCUUUUAACCAAUACUUGCAUGCACUUUUUUUAAUUAUUUUACAUGCGUUACUGUUACAACUUCCAACUACUACAGGCGUUUUUUUGGUCAAAAAGUUGAUUCCCUGCAGUGUUACCGGCCCAUUACCUUUAUCUCAGGUUACUCUCUUGCGUCUGUGUGUCUCUUCUGCAGCCACGAGAUGAAAUCUAACGGUGACCAUGCUACAAGACAAACGACUUGGGUACGAAACCCAUGACGCAAAGUAGCUGCGGCCUAAAUCAGGUAGGAAAAAUAAAAAGUUAAUUAUUGAGUUGUAAUGGUGCAACUAAGGUUUUGAAACAUUAAGAUCUUUAGCCAUUAUGUUACUAUCCCGUAGUUAUUUAAGUUAUAAGAGAUAGUAAAAAAUAACAUCAUGUAAUUAUUUAAGUUAUAAGAGAUAGUAAAAAAUAACAUCAUAUUUUAAUUACUUACACUAAUCCUACAAGUGCUAAUGGUCUAAAGUUGCUGCUGCUUGCACUGAAUCAGUGGUCAUGGGCCAGCCAAGGUUAGGUGAGGCCAACUCAUUAGCUUGAGAAACUUAAAGAAGUCUUAGGUUUGGAAAAGAUGGGGCACAGGUUAUAAAUUUUUUUUGAGUUUUGGAUUGAAGGAACAAAAUUGUUGAUGUCUAGCUCACAAUAUUUGAAGUCACUCUGUGCUUCAUCAUGUAAAAUGGAUUGAAUUGCUGUAAGAUCAAGUCAAAUUAAAAUGUUUAAACUCAUUUUUAAGAAACGAAUUCUCAAUUGGACCAGCCUUUCACAGAAGCUGAUAUCACAGAAGCUUUGAGUCAGAUGCAUCCAACCAAAGCCCCUGGCCCAGAUGGUCUCCCAACAGUAUUUUUCCAAAAGCUUUAGAAUUCAGUAAGCGAAGGAGUUAUAGCCACUUGUCUGCAUAUCCUCAAUGAUGGAAGUAAUAUUGCUCCUUUGAAUCAUACAUACAUUGCUUUAAUCCCCAAGAUAGCAAAACUUAGGACUCUGAUGGAGUAUAGACCAAUCAGCAUAUGUAAUGUAAUUUAUAGGAUCAUUGCAAAGACUAUAGCGAAUAGACUGAAGCUAAUCUUAGAUCAUGUUAUUUCGCCAACUCAGAGUGCUUUUAUGCCAAAUAGGCUUAUAACUAAUAAUAUAAUUAUUGGGCAUGAGUGUCUUCAUAAGUGGACAAAGCUAAGUUCCAGAGGUGAGAUAGGAAAUUCUCCCGCACGACAUAGUAGAAACAAACUUUCCCUUUCAUUUUCUUUCUUCUUUCUCGCUCUCCAAACAGAGCAAAAGGACCGUCGCAAGAUUCUUCACUUCCAUCCAAAAUCAUGAGCAACGAAUAGUGAGCCUCCCUGUUUCCUUCCUUUUUUUGAUAUUAACAUUGUUAACAUAUACUCAUUUUAAUUUGACAAUACUUCAACUUUUUUUUAUUUUUUUGCCUUUUCAUUUUUUUUGUUGAAGCAAUUAUCUGUUCAAGCUGUUGCUUAUCGGAGACUCGUCUGUCGGAAAGUCCUACCUGCUGCUCCGAUUUGCUGUCUGUUGACUUUUCCUUUCCCUUCUUAUUUUCUUUUUUUUAUAUUAAUUACUUUCUAUUUUAGCUUUUUGUUCUCUGAAUUUGUGUUAUUAAAAUGAUAAUUUAGAUGAUAAAUAAUUGUUAUUCUUGUAAAUUUCGAUUUUCAUUACGUUAAUUGUUAGUUUUUAGGUUUAUUAAUGUAAUUUUUUUUUUCAAUUUUUCAGGAUGAUUCUUAUGUCACAGCUACAUCAGUACCAUUGGAGUUGAUUUUGUGAGUCUCUCUUCUAUAUAUAUGUAUAUAUGUGUAUAAGUUAUAAUAUGAGUCUAUGUACGUGUAUGAAUGUAUGUGUAUGUAUAUGUGGAAAGAAAUGUUGGCAGACUUCAGCAUUUUACUCUUUUUUUUUUUUUGGCAGAAAAUAAGAACUGUGGAGCUGGAUGGGAAGACGAUCAAACUGCAGAUUGUGAGUCAAAAUUUCCUUUUAUCUUGUAUUGAGAGAAAUUCGAUUUGUCUUAUUUAGUGAAGGUUAUGUUCAAGAACCUCUUCUUAUUUUCUUUGUUUGAAGAGUGAUAUGUUGAAAUGAGUGUAUUUGUCUUAUAAACAUCAUUUAGGUAAUGUCUGAUGUUUGAUUGUUUUUCAUCUGUUUAGUGGGACACUGCUGGACAGGAGCGAUUCAGGACUAUAACUAGCAAUUAUUACCGAGGAGCCCAUGGAAUCAUAGCAAGGAGCCUUCCCGGUUCUUGGUUUAAAUCAGAAAGUUUGUGAUUUACAUGUGACAUCUUAACAGCAUUGUAUGUGUUUAUUAACUUAUUUUUCAUCUUUCAUUAAGCAGUACAUUUUCCAAUAAAUCUGUAUACAAGAUGAUGUAGUCCAAGAAUGGGAGCCAUAAUAUGAUGCAAAUUGUCUAAUAAAUUCUUAUGACAUAUGAUGUUGUCGGAAGUAAAAGUCUUGCAAUGCUGUAUUCUCUUUUAAGAAAGAAUAAGUGGUAAUUUUUUUUUUCCAAUUUUUUAAUUGAGCAACUGUAUGAGAUUAAUUAAAUGUGUUGGGAUUUCAACAGAUUGUCUAUGAUGUAACUGAGAUGGAGAGCUUCAAUAAUGUCAAGCAGUGGUUGAAUGAGAUUGACAGAUACGCAAAUGACAGUGUAUGCAAACUUCUAGUUGGGAACAAAUGCGAUUUAGUUGAGAACAAGGUUGUGGACACACAGACAGCCAAGGUAUAUUCGUGACUUCUUUCGCCUGAACUUUGAAUAUAAUUUUAAACUCUUCUCAAGUGCAUUUGCUUGAUAAGUUUCUGCAUACCCAGGACACUCAAACUUUGGACAGUGUAUCUCGAGUUGGAAUCUUUUCUGCCAAUACGACUUGUUAAAAUAAUGGUUAUUAUCGUUUGAAUCAUUCAAGAAUUGCAAUAAAUCUAAAGUCCAUAAAAAAUAUGAUUCCAUCAUUUUACUAUUAUAUCUAGACAAAACCCAUUAUUUUACUACAUUUCAUUGGCACCGAUAGUUGACCUGUUGGCUGACUGAUAAAAUCUCAAUUUUGCACUUUACAUUAAUUCUUUUUUGGUUAAAAAAUAACACACAAAGUAUUACAAUAUUAUAAAUUCAAAAUAUAAAGUAGUUACAAAUAAUUCCUAUUAGCCUAUGAAUAUAAUAUUUGAUACCUCUAUUUGUGUAAUUUUUUUUCCAAUGGUGAAAUUGUUAUUUUUUUUGUACUAACGGAAAUGUAGUAAAAUCAUAAGUUUUGUAAAGAUAUAGUAGUAAAAUGAUAGACUAAAAUACUUCUUGUAGUUGUUUGAUAUAUUGUAAUUCUUAAAGUACUCAAUUGAUAAUAUCCCCUAAAAUAAAUGUUCGUAAUAUGUUCUCAUUUUAAUGCAACUGAUUGUUUAAUAAAAUUGUAUUUCUUUGUUAAUCUUUUAUCAUGUGCAUGCUCAGUGAGAAUUUGACUUACUAGAACACAAGUUUGACUCUUCAUUUAAAUGUCUCUUGUAUCAUAUCCUUCAAUGUUGUGUGUGAUUCCAAUAAAAUUGAGUAGGGAGAUCCUUAAAUACCUUUUCCUUUUUUCCAAGGGCCUGUCAAAUUGCUCUAAGUGAUUCUACCCUUUAUCAAUGAAUAAUGAAAAUAAAAUUUUUAUUAAAGCAGUUUUUUCCGUAAAUGGUGACUAAUAGUACCCCUUUUUUUGGAGAGGAAAGUCAAACAUGCCCAAAGAGAAUCAUUUACUUUCCUCUAAUGUAUUUUCUAAUUCGUUUUGACCCUUGAAUGUCUGUUUUGGUGCGUAUUCUCAUUCCAUGUCGAAUCUUAUCCAUAUGGACAACCCCACUUACAAAAAAGUCUAAUGAAUCUAUUGAUGUUCAUAUGAGGUUUGUGCUUUAGAUUUAGACCUCUCUCUCUCUCUCUCUCUCUCUCUCUCUCCACUUACAUGUCUUUCACUUACCUGUUUGCAUGCAUGCCCAUGCACACACUUGCAAGUUAAUACACAGUCACUCGUACUUGUGUUUUGGUUGAGCUACUGGCUGCUAACCUCUGUAAUUCAGUUUGAAACUUGCCC